GGCCUGCUGGCGCAAUGGCAGCGCGCAAGUUUCCGGUACUUGAGGUUGUGUGUUCGAGUCACACGUAGGUCG